CUUGAGUGUUGGUAAUCUUUUGCCUAUAGAACUGAAGAAAAAUUAGCGAAUUUAGAAAUUAUUUACAAGUUCAACAGAUCGUUUGGGUCUGCAUUUUGUUGAUCUUCAUAUGAAUAUUUGAAUAAUUCAUACUUUUUGUCACGUACUGCUCUAUGUUUAGAAGGUGUUUCCUUAAAUGUCAGAAGUGUCUGUCUACAGAACGUACGUGGGGCAGUCUUUUGUAAAGAGGAGAUUGCCUUUUAUCGGCAUGCAGAAAAGUCUUUGAUAUCUGGGGUCUUGAGGAUGACCCCUGACCUGAAGGAAAAUAAUGGAUGGCCCAUCUGCUUGGUACACAGGAAUCCUGAG
ensembl:lncRNA